rnacentral:sRNA from 13 species
GCUGGGCAUGGUGGUGUAUACCUGUAAUCCCAGCUACUCGGGAGGCUGAGGCAGGAGAAUUGCUUGAACCCAGGAGGCAGAGAUUGCAGUGGGCUGAGAUUGUGCCACUGCACUCCAGCCUGGGUGACAGAGUGAGACUCUGUCUCAA